AGGAUGAACGCUGGCGGCGUGCCUAAUACAUGCAAGUCGAACGAGGUCUUCGGACCGAGUGGCGAACGGGUGAGUAACACGUUGGUACCUACCCCGAAGUGGGGAAUAACUGGCCGAAAGGUCGGCUAAUACCGCAUAAUACCGCAAGGUUAAAGCAGUAAUGCGCUUCGGGAGGGGCCUGCGUCCCAUUAGCUUGUUGGUGAGGUAACUGCUCACCAAGGCAACGAUGGGUAGCUGGAUCGAGAGGUUGACCAGCCACACUGGGACUGAGAUACGGCCCAGACUCCUACGGGAGGCAGCAGUAAGGAAUCUUCCACAAUGGACGAAAGUCUGAUGGAGCAACGCCGCGUGCAGGAUGACGGCCUUCGGGUUGUAAACUGCUUUUAUAUGGGAAGAUUAUGACGUACCAUAUGAAUAAGGACCGGCUAACUACGCGCCAGCAGCCGC
rnacentral:rRNA from 1 species